GCAGGCGCUGUAGCCUGAGGUGGGCGGGGCAGCCCGAGGAGCGCGCGCCAUGCAUGCCAGGGGGUACCCAGCCGCCCGGGCGAUCGGCCCGGCUCGCGCCCCCGCCCAAGUGUCUGUUAUCCUCCCGGUCCAUGACGCUGAACCGUGGUUGGACGAAUGCUUGGGGUCGAUUUUGCAGCAGGACUUUGAAGGCUCCAUGGAGCUCUCCAUUUUUAAUGAUGCCAGUAAGGACAAGUCCAUGACUAUUAUCGAAAAAUGGAAAAAGAAGCUGGAAGGUUCCGGCAUCCUCGUGGUCAUCGGAGGGCAUGAUUCUCCUUCUCCCCGAGGAGUCGGAUAUUCUAAAAAUCAAGCAGUAGCACAGAGCUCAGGGUCUUACCUUUGCUUCUUGGAUGCGGAUGACGUGAUGAUGCCUCAGAGAGUGAGGCUGCAACACGAAGCCGCUUUGCAACAUCCGAAAAGUAUUAUCGGUUGUCAAGUGACGAGGGAGCCCCCCAGUUCCACCGAGCGGUACACGCGGUGGAUCAACCAGCUGGCGCCCGACCAGCUGCUCACCCAGGUGUUUACCUCCAACGGCCCCACCGUGAUCAUGCCCACCUGGUUCUGCUCCCGAGCCUGGUUCGCCCACGUGGGCGCAUUUGAUGAGGGCGGGCGGGGUGUCCCUGAGGACCUGCUGUUCUUCUACGAGCACCUGAGGAAGGGCGGCGGGGUCGUCCGUGUGGACCAGAGCCUCCUCCUCUACCGCUACCACCCCGGCGCGGCCACACACUCCGUCCUCGAGACCACCAUCUGGGACCACCGCGUCCGCUUUCUGGAAGAGCAGGCCCUGCCCCACUGGGCGACCUUCACCAUCUGGAACGCCGGCCGGCAGGGCCGCCGGCUCUACCGCAGCCUGACGGUGGGCUCACAGCGCAAGGUGGGGGCCCGCCCCUGCACCACGCCCGCCCCGCCCUGCCCCAGCCCUGCCCGUCAGGCAGCACUGCCCCCGCUGCCCGAGGCUGUGUCCUGUGUCCUUCCCAGGUGGCUGCCUUCUGCGACGUGGACGAGAACAAGAUCAGAAAGGGCUUCUACUGCUACGAGGGCUCUCAGGAAAGGCCCAAGCCCCGGAUCCCAGUCCUGCACUUUCGAGCUGCACAGCCACCCUUUGUCAUCUGCGUGAAGCUGGACCUUACGGGGGGCGCGUUUGAGGACAACCUGAGGUCGCUGAACCUGCAGGAGGGCCGGGACUUCCUUCACUUCAGCUGACAGACCCGUGGCAGCUGCUCCCAGGCAACCGGGGGGCCACGGUCAUGAGCAGAAAACUCAGCCCCAGUCCCUGAGCAGGCCCACUGUCCCCAAAACACAGAGCUGAAAUAAUCAUGGAAAAGUGUGUUAAACACCAGAAGCAGCAUGGCAAUGCCCCUCAGGAAUUCUGACACCGAUCAUGAAGAACUCAAAUUCAACUAGUAAAACUGUACCUGGAUCCUACAGAACGAUAAACUUACUUAUAGAAAAAGGGAUGAAGACUAAAGAUAUGUCCUAUCCACCCAACAGAAAAGCUGAGACACAGGAGGCUGGAGAGCUACAAGAAAGACCAAUAUCUACUUCCAGUCCUUCAUCCUCCACAUCAAAGCCUAGUCAUUAUCAAUACCAAGGCUAUUAUCUCUGCACGGGGGUAGGGGCUGCAACUCUGUUAGUCCAAAGUUCACGUGUCCUGAGGCAGGACAGCAGUGGCCACGGGGAUGGGGACACACGCCACACACUCUUGCUCACUUGACGUGGCUGACACUGACAUGCUGUCACGAUUCUAGCAGGUUGCUCAUCCGCACAUGAGCAUCACAACAGGAGCCUCCAGCCCUAAAUUCUACAGCUCAAUAGGGAACACGUUUAGAAGGCAAAUUAAUUAAUAAAACUAGAAACAAUAAUAAAAAAUUUAAAUAUUCUGGUCAAUGAUGGCUGCAUUAGUUGUCCCGAUCAUAAAUUACAUAAACAAUAUCAUUCAGAAUUCCAAAUAUAAUUACUGGCAUUUAUCAACCAUGUUGGUCUACAAAAUCGACUCAUAAUGCACAGAGACCUUUGAAACACUCAAAUAUUUACACACAGUGCAAAAGCCAGAGAGCCCUUGCUCCCCACACCUUUAUAUGUUGUCGAGAGUGACUUGAAAUGAGGUGGAGGUUUUUCAAGGUGUCGUUUAUCAGCCACUGCCAACCAUCUGUCAAAGAAACAAAUUCAUUCAGCUGGUAAAGAACAUUUGCAUCAAAUUAAAAACACCACCACACAGAUCUUCUACCUCUCAAGUCAAAGUAGACGGUGACGUUUGAGAGGAACCUGCAGGAAAUCUGAGGUACAUGCUCUCCAGGUCGAGUGAAAUUCUAAAGGCCUUUGCCCUGUCCACCUAUAGGGGUAAACUCUUCUUUCUGCUGUUGAAAUGUGAAAACUGUCACGAUGGGCAAGUUUUUGUUCUCCUUUUCCACCUGCAAGCUUCAAGUGGUCUUUGCCUGUACUUCUUCCCUGAACAAUCCCCCCACCAAUAAAAAUCAAACACAAAAUUCAACUAGAUCUAAUACUUGGAAACAAACACUAACUCAUUUUUUGCUUCUUCCUCAAGUUACAGAACUUCUGAGGCUGUAGAGCACAGAGCCAGCACAGCCGGCAGGGGCGGGGACCCCAGGGCUUUUCUUACUACCUCUCUGUGACCAGCGGCCACAACGUCAGAGCCUGGAGACGCUCCAGACCAGCACCGGGGCCUGACUGCCACCCCUGGAAGAGCCAAGGCAGCUGCUGGCCCUGCCCUCAUCCUGCGAGAGCCUGCCCCUCGGGCUGGCACUGUCCAAAUGGGAGAGGAACAGCCAAGAAUGCCUGGUGCUGGGCACGGCCAUGACAGGCAGAGCCCCAGUCGGGAGCCCUGAGGAAGGACCUUGAGCCCUUGGAAGAGAAGGAAGAAUCUCUGCUUCUGUGGGGAGAGUGUGGGGGAUGCUCCCUGUUUACAGUGGGUUCUUAACAGCAACUUAAAACAGAUUCUAACAGGAUGGAAUUUACCAUCCACCCUAACAGGCUGGUCUUCACUUUUCAAGCUGAAGUAGUUCUGGAAGAAAAUGCCACAAUGUGAGCCACUGGAGAGGUGCACUUACCGAUCACGGCGUCACCUCUGAAGGGCAUUUUGGAAAGGGCCGCGUUUUCUAUUAAAAUGCACACUAGGAAGAAAAAGGAUGAACGCAAUGUCAUUUUCCCAAAAGUGCCCAUCCCAGCACCCACCCUGACGCACCUGAGCCCAGCGCGGCCAACACCAGCCUUCCCGCCCCUGCCCCUCAGCGCAGGUGUCCGGAGGCGAGCCCCCAGCAUGUCCUCAGCACCAGACCUGGCCCAGGCUCGGGGGCAGUGCCAGGAGCCACGAGCAGCAGCAUCACGCUGGUGCCCUUGGGGAACCCUGCCCAGACAAGGGAGCGACACAUGGAGGCCGCAGGUCUGACCCCAUACAAACCCCCAGGGACAGACAACUCAGCUCUCAAACCACGGACACCCAUAAGUGACCAGGCGCUGUGGCUGAGCAGCAGGCACCUGCCCGAUGAGGACCACGGAGAAGCAAGUUCCCCUGGAGGGGGCUCCCCCACCUCAGGUCAGCACCAGGGUCCGGACAGGGUCAGAGGAGGUAACACGUAUCACCCCGACGGGACAGUCCCCAGAUGAGCCACAGUGCGCAAAGCUCUGGUAAAUUCCUGACCUCUGUAAAUAAUGCAGUGUUCGUUUUAAUAAACUACCACUUCUGCGCGUGGAAACACAGCCCAGUGGGGCUGCUCAGCGGCCACCACCACAAGGACACCUGAGCCUCAGUGUGGUGGCCUCACAUGGCUGUCCUGGCACCAAGGAGGCUCUGACCUACCCGGUGCCUGCCCACAGGCCACGUGCCUCUGCCCAUCCCACAUGGCUCCUCACGCCGCCCAUUCACACAGCAAAUGCACCCCCACCUCGGUCCCUACAACAGAACAGCCUAAUGGUUUCCUCCUACUGAAUGAGUAGUUUGCAUUUGCUAGAAAAAAUCUAACACUACAGAAAAAUAAGAUAGAAAACCACCACUGACAUUUUGGUGGCCAUGUAAUUUGGGGGUCCCACCACGGACCUUCACAGGCUAAGAGAGCACAGGCGCCCCUCCCGUCAGCUUGGUGCCCUGACCCCAUCUUCGCCACCUUGCUCCCGCCUUGACCCCGAAACUAAGCUGAGCUGGAGCAUGGCUCCCACACCUCCUCCCACGCUCAGAGGGUCACAGACCAUAGGCGCCCCCCGCCAUGGCCAGGCUAGGCUGGGCUGGCAGCAACAAACCCCAACCUCAGCGCCCACAGCAACAGAGGCUCCCUGUGCCCGCUGCACAGCCGCCAUGCCUCAGCAGGGGUGCCCGUCACUGCCCCCCAGGGACCAGUGACCGGUGGCAGCUGUCCUCUGAAAUGCUGCCAGGCCAGCGAGGAAGCCAGCUCUGCAGUCUCCGCGAGCAUGGACGCCAUCCCACCU